CAAUAUAAUGCUCUGCUUGGAAAGCAAUCAUUAGGGUUGGACCAAAGUCCAUGCACAAAAAUGAUCGAGACUAUACUGCAAAAGCUGAAAGUACAACGUCAAGCGUAUCACGGAAAAAGUUUUGUGGGAAACCAUGUGCAUAAAAUGCUAAAAAAAUCUUCAAUACUUCAGCUAUGUAACUGUAUACCGAAGCUUGUUCAUGAAGAAGGAUAUUCAGGAACAAACGUGCACCUGUUAGCAGUUGAUUUUAGCAAUAAAUAUAAACAACUAUUUGAUAAAUUUGCCCAGUGCUACAAAAUAUUUUCUUCAAGAAGUAUAGUUACACCAGAAGAUUUAAUUCUUUUAAGGAAGUUUCAUUAAAUAAAAUAUUUUGAAAUUAGUGUUUAAGUAUACUUAUUGAUUUUUUUUAUAAUUGUUCUUUUAAAUUCUUUUAGAAAAAAAAUAUAAAAAGUUUAAUGCAAUUUUAUCGUGCGAAUUGGCCCGAGGCUUCAAUUAACACCUACACCUAAGUUGCAUAUGUUAGAACAUCAUGCUGUUCCGUUUUUGAAAAAAUGGGAGCGGGAUUCGGGUACAAAUGUUGAGAUCACAAAUCGAGCCUUUUUUUAGUCUUCAAAUACCUAUUUGGCUAACCAAGAGCACCAUGGAGAAUACCAUUUAAGAGAUUGGCUAUCCUUUUUCAACCUUACCGAAAACAUUUUUGUGCCAAGGCGGGAGAGCCCAAAUGCUACGGCUGCUUAAUUUUUUGUCAAUAAAAUAGCUACAGUCUUAUUAUAAGUAUUUACAUAUUUUUUUAAAUCUGAACAUUGUCUAACUAGAAACCAAGAUUAGCGUCGCAGAGGCGUAACCAGGGCGAGAAUUAAGUUAAUAAGUUAAUAAUGCCUAUAACAUAUAGAAAAUUUGCGUAUACUUGUUUAU